rnacentral:rRNA from 1 species
GUCAAGUAAGAAUACCCGCUGAACUUAAGCAUAUCAAUAAGCGGAGGAAAAGAAACUAACUAGGAUUCCCUUAGUAACGGCGAGUGAACUGGGAAGAGCUCAAAUUUUAAAUCACCUUUUGGUGAAUUGUAAUUUGAAGAAAGUGUUUUGACUUUUCAGUUUAAUCUAAAUCCUUUGGGAUGAGGUAUCAUAGAGGGUGAGAAUCCCGUUCCUGAUUAGACCUCGAAUUGCAUUAAUUCACUUUCCAAGAGUCGAGUUGUUUGGGAUUGCAGCUCAAAAUGGGUGGUAAAUUUCACCUAAGGCUAAAUAUAUGCAAGAGACCGAUAGCGAACAAGUACCGUGAGGGAAAGAUGAAAAGAACUUUGAAAAGAGAGUUAAACAGUACGUGAAAUUGUUGAAAGGGAAACGAUUGAAGUCAGUCAUGCUAGUGAGAAAUCAGCAAGGUGGUUUACUUCCUUGUGUACUUUCUUUCAGCAGGUUAGCAUCAAUUUUGGUUGUCAUCAAAUAAUUAGGGGAAUGUGGCUUCUCUUCGGUGAAGUGUUUAUAGACCCUGGUAGAUGUGGCGACUGGGAUUGAGGUUUGCAGCGGAUGCCUCUUGUGGCUAGUCACCUGUCUUCUGACCGUCACCUCGUUUUUGACAGCUUGCUGAUGAUUGCGGGAUUUGGCGAUCUAGGAGUUAGAGUGAAUAUAAAUUCGCUAAGGAUGCUGACGUAAUGGCUUUAAACGACCCGUCUUGAAACACGGACCAAGGAGUCUAACAUAUAUGCGAGUGUU